rnacentral:misc_RNA from 1 species
GAUGAAGAACGUAGCGAAAUGCGAUAAGUAAUGUGAAUUGCAGAAUUCAGUGAAUCAUCGAAUCUUUGAACGCACAUUGCGCCCGCCAGUAUUCUGGCGGGCAUGCCUGUUCGAGCGUCAUUUCAACCAUCAAGCCCCCGGCUUGUGUUGGGGACCUGCGGCUGCCGCAGGCCCUGAAAAGCAGUGGCGGGCUCGCUGUCACACCGAGCGUAGUAGCAUACAUCUCGCUCUGGGCGUGCUGCGGGUUCCGGCCGUUAAACCACCUUCAUAACCCAAGGUUGACCUCUGAUCAGGUAGGAAGACCCGCUGAACUUAAGCAUAUCAAUAAGCGGAGGA